UAGGGAAUCUUCGGCAAUGGGGGCAACCCUGACCGAGCAACGCCGCGUGAGUGAAGAAGGUUUUCGGAUCGUAAAGCUCUGUUGUAAGAGAAGAACGUGUGUGAGAGUGGAAAGUUCACACAGUAACGGUAACUUACCAGAAAGGGACGGCUAACUACGUGCCAG
rnacentral:rRNA from 1 species